GUUUUAAUAGUUUAAAAAAAACCUUGGUCUUGUAAACCAAAAUUAGGAAACUCCUUUAAAACU
rnacentral:tRNA from 1 species